rnacentral:rRNA from 1 species
GACAGAGGGUGCAAACGUUGCUCGGAAUCACUGGGCGUAAAGGGCGUGUAGGCGGGUAGAUAAGUCGGGCGUGAAAGCUUCCGGCUUAACUGGAAAAUUGCAUCGGAAACUGCUCAGCUUGAAGGUGGGAGAGGGUAGCGGAAUUCCCGGUGUAGUGGUGAAAUGCGUAGAUAUCGGGAGGAACACCAGUGGCGAAGGCGGCUACCUGGCCCACUCUUGACGCUGAGGCGCGAAAGCUAGGGGAGCAAACGGG